rnacentral:lncRNA from 1 species
CAUAGAAAUGGUUGAAAACCAUUGGUCUGUACUGGAAAUGAUCUAGCUUUUUUCAGGAAAAGGACAGAUAGUAAAUAUUUUAGACUUUGCAGGCCAUCCAGUCUCUGUGGCAACUACACAGCUCUGUCGUUGUAGGGUUACAGCAGCUGAAGACAAAAAUGAACAUAGCUAUGUUCCAAUAAAACCUUUACAGAAACAAGUGGUGGCCAAAUUUGGCCCUUGGGCUGUAGCUUGCUGACCCCUGGUGUGUAUCCUAGUACCUAAAAGAAUCUGGAGUUUAAGACUGUCCCAGUCAAGCCCAGGACAUCUGGUCACGUUGAUUAUUGUUGUAAUUUUCAAGGAUGUUGGCAUGAGAAUCCAUACCCCACCUUAAGAGAUUCUGUUUCCAUAUGUUGGGGCCUGGGGGUCUGCAUUUCAACCAGGAAUCCAGAUCAUUCUGAGGUAGGUGGACUGUCUGGGCCCAUACCGCAAGAAUCAGUGGUCUAGUGAAACGGAAUGUCCCCAGCAAGUAGCAAAGGCUUGGCUGGAGAAGCAGAACUGGCUCUCAUCCAAAAAUUCUUUAAGAUCACGGAGCGACAUUUUGUGUGUCCCUGCCUGCCUUCUGUUCCAGCAUCCUGCCUCCAAGGUUCCAGAACCUCUGAUGCCCCGGCACCAGCUCUUCCCAGUGUGCAUGUUGGCAGAAAAGGAAGCCAUCCUUCCUCUUCAACUCUGAAAUUAGUAAAAGACCUAAGUCCUCUUAUAUUUCAAAACAUUGAAGAAGAAAGUGGCUGUUUAACCACCUACAUAAUAACGCUGAUACUGGCAUUUACCAGCGUGUGUGUGUGUGUGUGUGUGAUCAUAGUUCAGCAGUUAGACCGCGGAGCCUCUGCCAUCAUCAGCUCUCAGCCAUGUGGUGGGUGAAUGCAAUCAUUUCUGUUUCCCGAUCCUCUUUGACAUCCAUUAUUCCUCUGUUGUCCACAUCUAAUGGUCUCAAUCCUUUUAGUUGUUGAUGGCUUGGCGAUUACCCGGGCUACUGCUUUAGGAUUACAUCCAAAUGCAUCUGAACAGUUGAAUUUACUUACUGCUUUCCUCCUAAAAGCUUUUUAGCAUGAUCCAGCUGGGAUGGCUUCACCGGGAGAACCAUUAUUUGCAGCUCUCUUUUUUUUGGGGGGGGAGGGGGCAGGUGGAAAUAAAUUUCCCAAAAGAUGAAAGCGAACUCCGCUCGGUGUAGAUCUGCAAUAUUGCCUUUCCUUCCUUCACCCUUUUAUAUUCCCCUUUCAGUUUUCCUCAGGAAUGACUCUUCUCCGGGGAGAUAGGAAUGUUCAAAAUUGCACAAUUGAGUCAAAUCAAUAUUUAGAGUGGUUUGGAUCUUUAAGACUUUCGCUGGGUUUUUGCCAGUGUCAUUUUCUACUGUAA